CAGAAUAUACCGGUUCUCGUUAGAUCACCGAAGUCAAGCAUCAUUGGGCGCGGUCAGUACUUGGGUGGGUGACCACCUGGGAACACCGCGUGCCGUU